AACGAACGCUGGCGGCAGGCUUAACACAUGCAAGUCGAACGCCCCGCAAGGGGAGUGGCAGACGGGUGAGUAACGCGUGGGAAUCUACCCAGUUCUACGGAACAACUGAGGGAAACUUCAGCUAAUACCGUAUACGCCCUACGGGGGAAAGAUUUAUCGGAAUUGGAUGAGCCCGCGUUGGAUUAGCUAGUUGGUGAGGUAACGGCUCACCAAGGCGACGAUCCAUAGCUGGUCUGAGAGGAUGAUCAGCCACGCUGGGACUGAGACACGGCCCAGACUCCUACGGGAGGCAGCAGUGGGGAAUAUUGGACAAUGGGCGCAAGCCUGAUCCAGCCAUGCCGCGUGAGUGAUGAAGGCCUUAGGGUUGUAAAGCUCUUUCAGUGGGGACGAUAAUGACGGUACCCACAGAAGAAGCCCCGGCUAACUUCGUGCCAGCCGCCGCAGUAA
rnacentral:rRNA from 1 species